GGAAAGAACACGAAGAGAGAAAGGAGAUAGAAGUCUCAAGAACACAGAAAGAGAAUGUUGUGUUCAAUCAGUUACUUCUUAAUUCAAUUACAAUGGACUAUCACUAUUUAUCAGCUGGAAUACUAACUAUUCUCCUAACAAAGAAUGACAUCAAUAACCAACCAGCUACUGACUUUGAUCCUAACAGGCUCCUUUGCUGCAAAAUUUUAUGGGGAAUUAU
rnacentral:misc_RNA from 1 species